rnacentral:lncRNA from 1 species
UAUUUACCUUGUACUAGCAUUUUGCAUGUGUUUUGCAUGUGCUCAUAUAAAAAAAAACCAGAAAGAAAGAAAGAAAAGAAGGCAGGGGAGGGGGGAGUGUGUAUUUAAGAGGAGAUCGAAUUCGUUGGAGAUUGUUCUGGGAGAAGGAAGAAAGAGUUUUUCGGUGGGGUUUCCUUUUGUGCGGUUUCAUGGAGUUCCAAUAUACAUGGAGAUCUUUAGGUUUUAAAAAUUUGAUCUAAUUAAAAGAUUAACUUUGUUAAAAGGUUUAAAAAAGUCAAAUUUCUAGGAUAGAAAAUAAGGAUUCAUAGCAGAUGAACAAAAUGUGGUAAACGUUUCUUUUCCUUUAUAUAGCAUAUUUAAAAGACUUAGGUUUUUCUCCCUCUACCAAAUUUAUUAUGCACACUUUUUUUUAAAAUCCAACUACAAGGAGUCCAGUUACGGUAAGUCUGGCUACAAACUUGGUCAUUAUAAUAGUAAAGACAUACAUACAUACAUACACACAAAAACAUAUAUAUGCAUAUAAAAAAGCAUCAAGAAAGAAUAGAAGGCUAUCAAAAUAACAUAGUCCAUAAUUUACACGAUAACUUUAACUUUUAUAAGCUCAUCAUUACUCGUUAUUCCAAGACCAUAAUCCAUAUUUUAUAUUUUAAUAUGAAUAUCAAUAGACAACAAAUAGACCCUCCCCCCAUUAGAGGUAUCGAGGGAGUACCUAGAGUGUUUUUAUUUUUUUUAAAAAAAUAAGAAACUUAACAUAAGUACCCGACAUAUCUAAGAAGUAUUCAAAGAGUAUCAGUAUCUAACACAGAUAUGAUACAACAUGCAAUAUGAAGUAUCAGUGCUUUCUAGGCCUUUAACCAGCCCAUGGCCCACCAGAAUAUUACUACCAUUCUAGAAGCCUUUGGCUAAGGAAUAGAUUUUGAUGGAUUCUCCUAACCAUGAUAACCUGCCAGGUCUAUAAGCCACACCUGAGCUGAUCCCUACAUAAUGUGGUUGGUCUCAAGCAAUCCAAACAAACCCACUUAAUUAUAAAGACUUCUACCCAAAACCAUUUAUUCCAGGCAGGUUUACAAACAUUUGUUGGUCCAGUUCAGAUAUUGCACAUUUGAGUACAUGGUAGUUGAACACUCCCAAUUCGACUCAAACCUUAAGCUAGAAAGGACCCCAACUCAAACCUGCCAGCGUUUUGAACAUGUACAACUUAUGUCUAACUCGUGGAUCUGAAGCCAAUUUAGGUAAGUUUCUGGUUGGGCUGGAUCCUGACCAACCCUACCUACCAAGAUACGCCAUUUUGGUACCAGGCCCCGAACCAGUACCACCCUAUCACUGUGUUAGUAUGCUUGAUACAAGGGCCGGUGUGGUGUAUUGAGUGUUGGUACAUCCCCCAUACCGUGUACCGGUAUCGAACCAUUUUUCAUGACUAGAAUCUACAAAAGGCUGCCUGGAGACAUCAUACAAGG